CUAAGGACCGGUAUAGCAUCCUUCCUCUCUGUGACCUGUUAGCGUGUUAGGUUCCAGAAUCGUGACAUUACAACAGGGCCACCAUGGAACCUGCUGACAUUCCACAGCUGUUAGUAAAUCAGGAGGCUAGAAUGGAUGGUUUAGACCAUCGUAUGGAUCAGUUUGCCCAGGCUUUACAAACCAUACUGGCUCGUACUGCCCACUUGCAACCUGCCGUUCAAG